rnacentral:miRNA from 1 species
GGUUGGUGCAAAAGUAAUUGUGGUUUUCACCACUGAAAGUAACAGCAAAAACUGUAAUUACUUUUGUACCAACCUAAUA